rnacentral:rRNA from 1 species
ACAUAUUUUAGUGAGCCUUUCAAUUUAUUAUUAUAAAUUUACUAUUAAAUCCAGUUUCAUUAAUUUAAUUAUUAUUAAAUUCAAAUUUAUCAUAUAUAGUAACCCAUGACAAUCUUAAUAAUAAGCUACACUUUGAUUUAAUUUAUAUAUUAAAUAUAAAACUAAGUUUUAAUUCUAAAACUUAUUUAAAUAACAGUACAUAAACUUUAUUAUACUAAGUAAAACUAAACGUGGAGUAUCAAUUACAGCACAGGUUCCCCUAAAGCUUUAAAAUACCGCCAGGUUUUUUAAGUUUCAUAAUAAAUAAAUACUAAUACUCUUAAAAUAAUAAUAAAGA